rnacentral:rRNA from 1 species
CAACAGGGAUUGCCUUAGUAACUGCGAGUGAAGCGGCAAAAGCUCAAAUUUGAAAUCUGGGGCCUCACAGCCUCCGAAUUGUAAUUUCACGAUACGUUUUCGACUGAAGGCUCUGCUUUAAGUUCCUUGGAACAGGACGUCACAGAGGGUGAGAAUCCCGUGAUAGGUGGAGCCUGAUGCAUAUGAUACGUAUUCAACGAGUCGAGUUGUUUGGGAAUGCAGCUCAAAAUGGGAGGUAAAUUUCUUCUAAAGCUAAAUAUUGGCGAGAGACCGAUAGCGCACAAGUAGAGUGAUCGAAAGAUGAAAAGCACUUUGAAAAGAGAGUUAAAAAGUACGUGAAAUUGUUGAAAGGGAAGCGCUUGAGACCAGACUCAAUCUGUAGUGAUCAAUUUGGCUUCUGUCAGAUGCACUUGCUACUUAUUGGGACAGCAUCGGUUUUGGCGGUGGGAUAAAGUCUUGAGGAAUGUAGCUAUCUUCGGGUAGUGUUAUAGCCUCUUGAGUAAUGCCACCAGCUGGGACCGAGGACCGCGCCGCAAGGCUAGGAUGCUGUCAUAAUGGUCUUCAGCGACCCGUCUUGAAACACGGACCAAGGAGUCUAACAUCUAUGCGAGUGUUCGGGUGGAAAACCCUUGCGCGUAAUGAAAGUGAACGGAGGUGGGAACCUUAGGGUGCACCAUCGACCGAUCCUGAUGUCUUCGGAAGGAUUUGAGUAUGAGCAUAGCUGUUGGGACCCGAAAGAUGGUGAACUAUGCCUGAAUAGGGUGAAGCCAGAGGAAACUCUGGUGGAGGCU